UCAUUCUGGCUGACGACAGUGUACGGCCCAGUCAACGAUGGGCGCAAAGACGCCUUCCUGGCGGAGCUGAUCCAUGAUACCCCGCCCCAGGGUGAGCCAUGGGUAAUUGUUGGCGAGUUCAACAUCAUCUAUGAAUCCAGGGAAAAGAGCAAUCUCAACCUAAACCGUCACAUCAUUGGCAUGUUCAGAAGGGCAAUUGACACCGCAGACCUGAAGGAGAUCAAGUGCAAAAAUAGGCGAUUCACCUGGUCAAAUGAGCAGGAGAAUCCAACUUUUGUGAGCAUUGACAAGAUUUUCUACAAUGUGGAAUGGGAGAGCCUCUUCCCCUCUCUCAUGCUGAUGGUCGCCUCGACCGCCUGCUCCGACCAUUGCCAGCUGCUGCUAUCUGACACCACCGUGCCGCUGAGGAAGGCCACAUUCAAAUUUGAAUCUUUUUGGUCGUGUUUCUCGCGCUUCAAGGAAACAGCGGAGCGUGCAUGGUAG
rnacentral:rRNA from 1 species